AGUGAACGCUGGCGGUAGGCCUAACACAUGCAAGUCGAACGGCAGCACAGGAGAGCUUGCUCUCUGGGUGGCGAGUGGCGGACGGGUGAGGAAUACAUCGGAAUCUACCUUUUCGUGGGGGAUAACGUAGGGAAACUUACGCUAAUACCGCAUACGACCUACGGGUGAAAGUGGGGGACCGCAAGGCCUCACGCGACUAGUUGAGCGGAUGUCCGAUUAGCUAGUUGGCGGGGUAAUGGCCCACCAAGGCGACGAUCGGUAGUUGGUCUGAGAGGAUGAUCAGCCACACUGGAACUGAGACACGGCCCAGACUCCUACGGGAGGCAGCAGUGGGGAAUUUUGGACAAUGGGCGCAAGCCUGAUCCAGCCAUUCCGCGUGGGUGAAGAAGGCCUUCGGGUUGUAAAGCCCUUUUGUUGGGAAAGAAAUCCUAUCGGUUAAUACCCGGUGGGGAUGACGGUAACCAAAGAAUAAGCACCGGCUAACUUCGUGCCAGCCGCCGCAGUAACAC
rnacentral:rRNA from 1 species